UUCUGGCUGACGAGUUCAAAAUAGGACGAAAUAAGCAUCCUAGAU
rnacentral:hammerhead_ribozyme from 1 species